UAAUAAGUGUUUUAUGGCACUUUUUAAAUCCAUAUCCACCUUGUGUGCAAUGUCAGUCGAUCUUCUUCAUGGAGAUCGACCAAACAUCAACCUUUAUCUUUUAACUCCUUGUCUGAAAAAUAUUAUGAAUAAACAAUUCAAAAUA
rnacentral:misc_RNA from 1 species